AUGGUAACAUCAGUGCUUCUGUUGAGCACAGUGGUCACUCAAAAGAGGCAGAGUGAGUUCAGCCUAUCAUUUGAGAUCCGAGUAUGAUUGGGGAAAUAUCCUGAAAUAGUCUAUGAUUUGAAGAAAUGGAUAGAUGGCUAGAAUAACAUGCUAGAUGGUAGUCAAGUUACUAACUGCAGAAUUGAUUUGAUAAAAUUCUCAUCGUGUCUCCUGACUUAGGAGAAAUAUUGGGUCUGAUGAAUGGGUAAAAUUCCCAGGUGAAAAGAAUUUGGUCUGUAAGAUUUGGCAGCACCCUGAGGUUUGCCAUAUCUGAUGGCCUGGCUUUAGUGGCAGCACCUAGUGAAGGCCCAGGUGUCCUUCUGACAACCUUUACCACCUACCGUUUUGUCCUUACUUAUGUUGAAUCACUACACACAGGCUGUUGAAUUCAGCUGUCUGUGGAGAAAUUAUACCAACCACAUGGUUAGACAGAAGGAAUACAAUAUAUUGCUUAAUUUGUAUCUGAAAGCUAAGCAACAUGGAAAAAAAUCAAGCAUGCUCAGUCACUUCCAUGAGGACAAACGAAGACACUUCAAGGAGGACAUUGACAUGGAUCUGCCAGCUUUCUAAGACUUUCCCCAGAUUCAAGUCCAGUCACAUCAAGUUGCCUUAUUAAAGGGUCUGCCCACUCAAAAGGAGAAAGUGCAAAAGAUGCUCAGCAAGGAAUAUCCAGCACAAUAAGCAUUGAAGAAACAAAUGGCAACGCAAGCUUAAAGAAUUCCAAGCCAUUAUGAACUGACUCUUCAAAUAAGUGCUUAUUUUCACAUAACCAGGGAGUUUCUGGAUUAACUUCCAUAUAAGACAUAUUUAUUAAAAGAUUUGCACCCCUAUUGCUGGCACUGGGUGGACCUCCCCAAACGCUCUGCCCUUGGUGCUCUUCUGCCGGUUAUUCUCGUCCAUGACCCCAGAGCCAGGGAGAAUCUCACCAGUGCAGCCCAGGGCACUUCUGAUAACAUCUGAGCAGAGUGAAGGAGAAGAAACGCACGAGGCAGGCAUCUCAUUUAUGGAAGUGCUCCUCUGGGUCAAGCCCUCUGCCAAUAAUUUUCAUGCAUAAUGGCCCUUUCAUUCUCCCCAAAAAUUCUUCAAGGGAGGGUGAUAAUCCCAGGAUAUGGAAACAAGGAAAAGCAGACUACAAGAAGUUAAGUGACCUCCCCAAUGACCCGCUGCUCAUAAAUGGUAGUAUCAGAAUUAAAACCCAGAUGAGGCUGCCCA
rnacentral:lncRNA from 1 species